rnacentral:rRNA from 1 species
ACAAGCGGUGGAUGAUGUGGUUUAAUUCGAUGCAACGCGAAAACCUUACCCACCUUGACAUGGCAGGAAUCCCGAAGAGAUUGGGAGUGCUCGAAAGAGAACCUGCACACAGGUGCUGCAUGGCUGUCGUCAGCUCGUGUCGUGAGAUGUUGGGUUAAGUCCCGCAACGAGCGCAACCCUUGCCAUUAGUUGCUACGAAAGGGCACUCUAAUGGGACUGCCGGUGACAAACCGGAGGAAGGUGGGGAUGACGUCAAGUCCUCCUGGCCCUUAUAGGUGGGGCUACACACGUCAUACAAUGGCCGGUACAGAGGGUAGCCAACCCGCGAGGGGGAGCUAAUCCCACAAAGCCGAUCGUAGUCCGGAUCGCAGUCUGCAACUCGACUGCGUGAAGUCGGAAUCGCUAGUAAUCGUGGAUCAGCAUGUCACGGUGAAUACGUUCCCGGGUCUU